rnacentral:ncRNA from 1 species
UAACCUCUGGCGAGAGGCGUGAAUGUUG